AGCGAACGCUGGCGGCAGGCUUAACACAUGCAAGUCGAGCGCCCCGCAAGGGGAGCGGCAGACGGGUGAGUAACACGUGGGAACGUGCCUUUUGGUUCGGAACAACCCAGGGAAACUUGGGCUAAUACCGGAUAAGCCCUUACGGGGAAAGAUUUAUCGCCAAAAGAUCGGCCCGCGUCUGAUUAGCUAGUUGGUGGGUUAAUGGCCCACCAAGGCUACGAUCAGUAGCUGGUCUGAGAGGAUGAUCAGCCACAUUGGGACUGAGACACGGCCCAAACUCCUACGGGAGGCAGCAGUGGGGAAUAUUGGACAAUGGGGGCAACCCUGAUCCAGCCAUGCCGCGUGAGUGAUGAAGGACUUAGGGUUGUAAAGCUCUUUUAGCAGGGAAGAUAAUGACGGUACCUGCAGAAAAAGCCCCGGCUAACUUCGUGCCAGCCGCCGCCGUAA
rnacentral:rRNA from 1 species